GUUUUAUUUGUUUUCCUGGUGGGGCUGAAGUCCAACUAAGCAGUGGACUGAGGCCGUGACUCCAAGUCCAUCGCAGAGCCAACAGAGACAUACAACCAUGCAUCCAAACACUCAUCAUACAGAAUGGGAAACCUAAGUGGCAGAUCACAGACUGAGGAAUCCAUGGAACAACAGUGUUACGGCCCUAGUUCGUUUUUGGCUGUUCUUGGGAUUGAAGAGAGGCCUUCUGUGGGUCCUGGUAUCUGGCUUGAUUGCUGCCUGCUUAUUAAGAACUGCCACACAUGCUGCUGCAGCCCUUUCUCUCUUCCUCCUGAGAUCUUCAUUUGUUUAGUUUGUCUCCUAUGUUUAGGUUGUGCAAGAUUUGCUUAGUUUGGUUAUUAAUUUGAAUUUUGGGUUAACAUGCAAUUUGGCUUUUCCUUUUCAGGUUAAUUUUACUUUGAUAAACAUUUUUUUUGUUUAAGUAAAUAUCCUUCCGGGUCUCCUUUUAUGUUAACCCACCAUACAA